rnacentral:misc_RNA from 1 species
GAACGCACAUUGCGCCCGCCAGUAUUCUGGCGGGCAUGCCUGUUCGAGCGUCAUUUCAACCAUCAAGCGCCUGCGCUUGUGUUGGAGCCCUGCGGCUGCCGCAGGCUCCCAAACCCAGUGGCGGGCUCGUCGUCGUACCGAGUGCAGUAAAUUUACCACGCUCAGGGCGCGCGACGGGUGACCGGCCGUAAAACCCCCCAACUUAUCAAGGUUGACCUCGGAUCAGGUAGGAAUACCCGCUGAACUUAAG